rnacentral:lncRNA from 1 species
AGACAAUGAAAUACAUAGAAUAAAGCGAGAUACAUUGAAUAUAAUGAAAAAAUAAGAUAGUGAAAUACAAUAAAUAUAUAGAAUAUAGCGAGAUACAUUGAAAUACAAUAAAAAAAGUAAAAAACUAUUCAAGUUCCUCAUCCCCAAACUCCGUCCCCAAUCCACCGAUAUCCAAGUUGCCGCCAUUGGGGCGUCACUGCCGGUUAAAUGAAGAUAGUUAUUGAAAAAGUAGGUUCAAUUGUGAUCCCAAAAUCAAAUAUAAAUGCAAAAACCCGAUGAAAAGGGCAUAAUCUAAUAUCUUGCAAUAUUUGUAACUUUGUUGAGUACUACUGCUUCGGGGUUCACAAUAUCUUUCAAAAUUGAACAAGAAUUUACCACAGAAACUUCCUACCAAAUGUCAGGAAAUUAGGCUAACAAGCAGAAGAAGGAAUACAAUGGUAUUGACGUGAUAAGCCAGAGUUUCGAAUUUGUUUAUCUCUGCAUAGGCUGAAUCCAUGAAUCGGGGUAAAAGAGAAGAAAGAAGAAAGAGAAAGAAGGGGAGAGGGAAGAGACAGG